rnacentral:rRNA from 1 species
CAAGCGGAAUUCCAUGUGUAGCGGUAAAAUGCGUAAAUAUAUGGAGGAACACCAGAGGCGUAGGCGGCUUGCUGGGUCUUUACUGACGCUGAGGCACGAAAGCGUGGGGAGCAAACAGGAUUAGAUACCCUGGUAGUCCACGCCGUAAACGAUGAGUACUAAGUGUCGGGUAAAACUGGUACUGAAGUUAACACAUUAAGUACUCCGCCUGAGUAGUACGUACGCAAGUAUGAAACUUAAAGGAAUUGACGGGACUCCGCACAAGCGGUGGAUCAUGUUGUUUAAUUCGAAGAUACACGAAAAACCUUACCAGGUCUUGACAUUUUCUUGCGAAGUUAUAGAAAUAUAAUGGAGGUUAUCAGGAAAACAGGUGGUGCAUGGUUGUCGUCAGCUCGUGUCGUGAGAUGUUAGGUUAAGUCCUAAAACGAGCGCAACCCUUGUCGUUAAUUGCCAGCAUGUAAUGAUGGGGACUUUAACGAGACUGCCAAUGAAAAAUUGGAGGAAGGUGGGGAUUACGUCAAAUCAUCAUGCCCCUUAUGAUCUGGGCUACAAACGUGAUACAAUGGUUGAUACAAAGAGUAGCUGAAACGCGAGUUCUUAGCCAAUCUCAAAAAAACAAUCUCAGUUCGGAUUGAAGUCUGCAACUCGACUUCAUGAAGUUGGAAUCGCUAGUAAUCGCGAAUCAGC